GAUGAACGCUGGCGGCGUGCCUAAUACAUGCAAGUCGAGCGAACGGACGAGGAGCUUGCUUCUCUGAUGUUAGCGGCGGACGGGUGAGUAACACGUGGAUAACCUACCUAUAAGACUGGGAUAACUUCGGGAAACCGGAGCUAAUACCGGAUAAUAUUUUGAACCGCAUGGUUCAAAGGUGAAAUACGGUCUUGCUGUCACUUAUAGAUGGAUCCGCGCUGCAUUAGCUAGUUGGUCAGGUAACGGCUUACCAAGGCAACGAUGCAUAGCCGACCUGAGAGGCUGAUAGGCCACCUGGGAACUGAGACACGGUCCAGACGCCUACGGGAGGCAGCAGUAGGGAAUCGUCCGCAAUGGGCGAAAGCCUGACGGAGCAACGCCGAGUGAGUGAUGAAGGCCUUCGGAUCGUAAAGCUCUGUUACUAGGGAAGAACAUAUGUGUAAGUAACUGUGCACAUCGUGACGGUACCUAAUCAGAAAGCCCCGGCUAACUACGUG
rnacentral:rRNA from 1 species